rnacentral:lncRNA from 1 species
AGCCACCGGGCUCUGGGCUGGGGAGGAGGUUGGAGGUGACCUUCCAGAAGGAACGUGGGACAAGGGAGCAAGUGAGCACCUGGUGGGUAGUGGUUACUCUGUGAGGAGCCAGCAGCACCAGCCAAAUAGAAGAUGGAGAAGUGGCCCCCAGCUUCCCAGUUUGGGUUUGGGCCAAGACAACUAAGAAAAGGGUCCACCGUCUUCGCUCCAAGUCAGAUGACCCUGAAUUAUAUCAAGUAGAAAAAUAUCUAACCAGGACAGAGGAGGAUACGAGCCCUCUCAGCUCAUAGACGCAAGAAGAGAGAGAGGUUUGCUGAAAAUCGUGGCUGACCACCUCAGAAGGACCCAGAAGACCCGAACUUUCUGGUUUUGCCUUUCACCUUGCUCUGAAACUUCUCCCAACACUGGAAGACAAGAAAGUUCUGCCCCACCUCCGCCCCCCGGACCGGGGAGAUUCUUCUCAUUGGACAAGCAGGCUUUCUGGACAAUCGUGAUCCGC